CGAUCAGUAGCCGACCUGAGAGGGUGAUCGGCCACAUUGGAACUGAGACACGGUCCAAACUCCUACGGGAGGCAGCAGUGGGGAAUAUUGCACAAUGGGCGAAAGCCUGAUGCAGCAACGCCGCGUGAGUGAUGAAGGCCUUCGGGUCGUAAAACUCUGUCCUCAAGGAAGAUAAUGACGGUACUUGGGGAGGAAGCCCCGGCUAACUACGUGCCAGCAGCCGCGGUAAUACGUAGGGGGCUAGCGUUAUCCGGAUUUACUGGGCGUAAAGGGUGCGUAGGCGGUCUUUCAAGUCAGGAGUGAAAGGCUACGGCUCAA
rnacentral:rRNA from 1 species